CCUACGGGUCGCACCAGUGGGGAAUAUUGCACAAUGGGCGCAAGCCUGAUGCAGCCAUGCCGCGUGUAUGAAGAAGGCCUUCGGGUUGUAAAGUACUUUCAGCGGGGAGGAAGGCGAUAAGGUUAAUAACCACAGCAAUUGACGUUACCCGCAGAAGAAGCACCGGCUAACUCCGUGCCAGCAGCCGCGGUAAUACGGAGGGUGCAAGCGUUAAUCGGAAUUACUGGGCGUAAAGCGCACGCAGGCGGUCUGUCAAGUCGGAUGUGAAAUCCCCGGGCUCAACCUGGGAACUGCAUUCGAAACUGGCAGGCUAGAGUCUUGUAGAGGGGGGUAGAAUUCCAGGUGUAGCGGUGAAAUGCGUAGAGAUCUGGAGGAAUACCGGUGGCGAAGGCGGCCCCCUGGACAAAGGCUGACGCUCAGGUGCGAAAGCGUGGGGAGCAAACAGGAUUAGAUACCCUUGUAGUC
rnacentral:rRNA from 1 species